rnacentral:lncRNA from 1 species
UCCCUUCUAUUAUAGAAAGGGUGGUCUACGAUCAAACUUCAAAUAUCCCAUAAAUCAAGUAGGGGCCUCAAAGCUAAAGCUUGUAGUUUAGGGGUGCGCAGGUGCUUAACGCCCUAUACAAGGGGCUAGCGCACAAUGGCUUUCUCUGAGAGGGGCUCGCUUCUUCAAGCGGAGCUUGCUGCUUUUCAUUUUGAUAGGAGUAGGUGCUUGUUGCUCGUCAAAGCCGUAGCUUGCUGCUCGCUCGCUGUCUACUAAACGAGCCUUCACUGCCCGCCCGGCCCCUAUCUUUAAUCUUAAGUAAAGUGAAAUCAAAUCAAUGAAGUGAACAGCCCAACCUCUUUGUUUGAAGCUUUGCCAGGAAGCUUCUAUUUGUUGAAGCUUUGCUUCCCCUAAUUCCAAAACACAACAAUAGACUUGCAACUAUAGUAUAGGAAAAAGCUUCUCUUUGAUAGCGGUCAUAGGGGGGUUCAGAAAGGAUCUGAUCGUAGAUAGAGACUUAAACCUGUGCGGGGGUAGGGGCGGAUGUAGCCAAGUGGAUCAAGGCAGUGGAUUGUGAAUCCACCACGCGCGGGUUCAAUCCCCGUCGUUCGCCCAUCAAUAAAUGGACCAUUUGUUACGGAUACACAAGACAAACCUAGAAAGAAUUCUUUCUGCAAGUCAUCUCGAGGCUUUCAAACGCAUCCAAGCAAUUGGUAUCCGAUUGAAACAUAGAAACCAUAGAUUCGCGUCGCCUACUUGCUGAAAGCACAAAUGGAAUGGCUGAUCAUUCAUUGUAUGAAGUUUUCAAUUUAAGACCUCACUAAUCAGCCUUACACUUUUUAGUUCAUAAUGAAUGAAAUGAACCCCCGGAUGAAGAAUAAAUCUCCCCUCCCUUUUACUAAACCAUGGGGAGCCCCGAGUAGUUUACCGGACAAAUUGAGUUGUCGUGACGAUACCUUUCUUAGUGGAAGAUCGGAAAUUAUCUUCAUCACGAGACUGAUCGGAUCUGCCGUAGACACCCGAGAGACCUCCACAAGGCAGGCUAAAAGAGUAAGAGGACAACAAGCAAAGAGUUAUGCUUUCAUUUCUUUGUUGAGAUUGAAAUCAAGUUCUUUAAAAAGGGGGUAGGUAUAAUGCACGCAGGCCAAGUCAAGAAAAGGACUUCCUUACUUUUCUUUCAUAGUCGUCUUAAUGACUAGUAGUUUGAUUUGAAGCCUUAAGAAACCGGUUUUUUUCGGCACUCGGUUCCUUCGUCUUAAGUCAAGUUCAGUUUACUUUUUCGAUUCGGAACUCUUAGUCGAGCUGAUGGCGAGAUCGAUUUUUUGUUCGAGGUUGGUCGUAGAUCAGAGCCUAGCACCUGACCGGAUGAACUCAAACUUUUGAGCCUAAAUAUCUUCCGCAGAAAGGGGGUUCGGCGUACUAAAGAAAACACUCUUUUCAACAACAAAAAACACCGCAAGAAACAACAAAACAAAGAAAUAAUUAAUAUUUCAAAUAUAAAUAGAGUAUAAAAGGAAAAACGUUAGGAGAACUUAAAAGAAAGAAAGAAUAACUAGCAAAAUUACAAACAAGAAAAAAGAAAGCGUUCGUGCCCCUUAUUCGCAAGAGGCACUCACUCGACGAUGAUAAACCGAGAAUAUCCUAACUCGGAACAAAAAAACAAGGAAAUAUAGGUGUCCCAGGAAUCAUAAAAAAAGCUACUGCAAUAAUCCAGAUAACCAUAAAUAUCCACAGAAUGGCAGCAGAAUUCACUCUUUUUUUCCGGUAUAGCUUUCCCGCGACAAGGAAAGGAAAAUAUAAAAGUCAAAAACGAAUAUGUUUUCUUUAGUGAAUAAGUUGACAUCCAUGGCAUUAGCGGGACGGGGGACUAGUAUGACCGGACGAGCUGACAAGAAAGAGUAGAAUCUGCAGAGUUGGAAUGAGAUGCAGAGAGUCUUCCAGGUAAGGAGGCCUUAUUGGGAUCACGUGAAAGUCAAGAAAAAGAACCGUCAAUCGGAAAACAAAUUUUUUAAAAACAGAGAGAGAGAGGGGGAGUGAUCUAUAGUGGAGGGAUACCAGUAGCUUUCACCAUGAACAAUAUCAAAAUGACUUGGGGCGAAACGGGAGAGAUAAUGGCAAAAGGGAAAGCGAAAUUGAUGAGGUCCCCCGGAAGAGUAGAAGGGCUGGUCGGAACGAGAAGGGUGGUCGUAGAUCAGGCUGAUUGAAGAUCAGAAGUGGUCUACGAGAGGGGUAGUACUCUAGGGUAGUUUUCCAUAAGGUUUCUUAGUUGAAACAAAAAAGUAGAGUUAGAACAAUCUUUUUCAAUCAGAUUGAAAUCCGCGUCCGACAACACGAUUCUAUCUUUCUCCAAAGAGGCUAUCGUCCCAAUAUCGCCACGUUUAACUGUCCUGUCGUAUUAAACUUUUGAUAAGCAUCAUUUAAAUUUGUCGUUUUUUUCCAACUCAGAGAGGGGCCAAAAGCAGGGCUCUUUCUUUGAAAAGGGACCGAGCUUUUCUUUUUUCUUCAUUUUAUUUGGAAGAUGGUGAGAAAAAAAGCAGAAUGCGAGAGCUCCCUUUGUGCUAAUUGCGGAAAAGGCGCGUCUCCGGUUCAACUGCCCUUUGCCUGUUAUACCCAAAAAGCGCAGAGGUUCAUGCCGUGUGUGGAUCGAGCUCCGGUCUAGUUGACCUUUCCUGUGAUCGAGACUGUGGUCUACGUGUGUGGUACGUUGGCUAUCGUGGUUCGGUUAGGGUGGCCAGUGCUCUUUCUUUUUGAACAUAACAUAAAAAGUCAAUUGCCGUCAUGCGGUCGGUGCGGCCUAAAGAGCAUCAAUCCACCUUGCGCGUGACUUGCUUGCCUUUCACCAGUAACUCCGCGGAAGCGUUUGGUCCUCUGCGCCAUCACUGAUUGCGUCCGCACUUUUAAAGAGAAGGUUUCGCCUUAAAAGUCAAAGCGCUUGGCAUUGGCUUGCGUAUAGCUCCAUCCUACUAACCGGAAAUAAGGAUUGACUUAUCUUUCUAAAUAUACCCAUUCCUGGGAGGGUGGUCGUAGAUCCGAGAGAGGAAUAGGCGAGCGCCAUUAUGAUUUUGAGUUGUCAGUGCCGUUCUAGUAGUGUUGGUACCUGUGGUCGGUCACUCUUUCUCCGUUGCUUUGCCGGGAAGUCAGUAUAGUGAGAGAAGAGGUAUUCGCGCUUUCUCCUCGCUAACCGCUGGAAAGAUACGUUAUCGAGCCGCUUCGGGACAAGCUUCUUCCUCGCUAGCGAAGCGAUAAACAGAUUGCAAACUGGAUCUUUAUGUGUCUUUGGUCGAGUUGGUCUUUGUUCAGUGAACCUUCCUUACCUUCCAGAUGACUGUUUUAUUUGAAAGUGCAAGUGGAAUGGAUCUUGCGUUGCGGUUCAAGUUCAAGAUGAAGGUGCAAGUUGAAAGUGAAAGUCGUUCUAGGGUCGGGUUCGUCGGUCUUGCUUUCUCGUAUGACGAAGUGAAGUGACUUGCCUGAAUGAGUCUCCGCUUCCGUCUUUGAUCAUCUCCUCUGGUUUUUCUUUUAUGCGUUUGCAACUGUGUGAUCAAGUCAAAAUGUGUGCAUUAGGAUUUGGUCAGUGUUAAGCGCAGUUCAUGUAUCGAGAUUCUACUUGCAGAUGCGGUUGCGCUUCUUUGGUGCGGCACCAAACAAGAAUUUUCAAAGCUGCGCCUAGUUGUUUCGACUAUCACGUUGAGGAAGAGUCCCACUUUGGUCUUUAUUUGGCACGGACAGUAUCUUCAGCUCUAGGGUGAUAUGUCCCGGAUUUUUCGCUAUACGGAAGGGAGCCACUGGUGCUGUGAUUCUGAGACAGGGGAUUCUCGGUCCUUGGCAGGAAAAAGUAAGUAUAAAGAGGCGCUUUCUUUGAUAUCCCCUCCUUUUACGCGAUUACUUGGGCAAGCCCUUGUCUUGUAGGCAUCGGAUGCAAACCUGCACUUUGCGAAUCGUCAUUAUACAUAACCCGAACACUACCUCUGUCCCUCUUUGAAUCCUGUGCACGAGAAAGAGGGCUUUAGCGUUCCUAUUCAGUUUCGGCUUUCACACUUUAACUUAAUAAAAGACAUGAUUCUUCCUAAACCUGAACAGCAGUUCUUGACGGCAAGGUCAAAGAUCAAUUCAAUCUUAUUAAUUUCGAUUUAAAUUGUGUUCAGUCAUAAGCCCAGCCCUUGAAUUCAGUUCCGUAGGGAAGUCCGGAGUGGGGAAGAUCCUUUGUUCAGGUCAUAUCCAUUCCUAGUCAUCCUAGGGCAAAGAGGAAGCCGAAUGCGAAGGAAGCUCAAUCUCAGUCUCAGGCAGUGAAUGAACAAGAUCUCUUAUACGGCCAAGUUGCUUACAAAGAAACUUUCUCACUUGUUGUAUAGGCUUUCUUCGCGUCAUGAUCAGCCGCCAUUAAUUGACCAAAGCCCCCUCAAGGGGAGCCGGCUAAAACUAAAUAAAAAAGAAUGUUGCGCCGAUACCUGAUGAUCUAUUCCUCUUUUCUAGACCACCGCGGUGCAAGUUGCAAAAAUAAGAGCUUGAAUACCACCACUUUUAAAUAAUCCAAGGAACAUGACAGAUAUAGGAACAACUGAAGGUACUAAAGAAACAAGAACAACCAGGAGCGUCGACGGAAAAAACAUCCCAACUACGAACCCCCCACUGAUGAAAGGUCAACUCCCGCGGCUACGGAAGUCAAAGAAAGAGCUAAAACGACCAUACUAAGCCUACCACUUGUCCCAUAUGCUGCUGCGUUAUGAGGAGAUUUGUAGGACGGCAGGCCAGAGGGCAAGGCCUCACUUACAGCGGAGGGACCCACAACAGGGCCAAGGGCAUGCCCACUAGUAGCGGUGUUGAGAGCCCCAUCAAUCAACUCACUACCAGAAGGAACUUCCCUGGCUCGGGCAAGGGCCCCUAUCGCUUGAUUAAGAAGAUCCGCGGAAGGUCAUUAAGGUCGGGAAGGGACAACCAAAAGAGCCCACAGCCUAGGCAUAACGGCAUUAUCAGCGCAAAAAGACUCUCCAAAGACUAAGACUGAACUUUCAAAUAAGAGUCGACACGCGAAAACGGCAUCUCACGAAACUUAACACCGGGACGGGAACCACUCUCGCGAACAAGAUGCCCUAGCCCCCGUUCGGGGGACCUUUCAAACCGGAGCUUCUUCUUGUCUACCCCUGAUCCAAGAAAACUACUAAUACCAGUAAGUCCCUUCACUAUCUUUACCGCCUCGAGCCCUUUACCCCGAGUCAAAGGAUUCCUCAUCAACAGCCCCCUCAAGUUCUACUUGGCGGUCCCAAACACUCUUUCUCGACGGACUAGACGAAACCCCCGGAAAAUUCAUGCAAGGCUUACGGGGCAAGGGAGCAUAUGAAGGAAUUGGGGGACAUACGCGAGGAGCAGUAUAACGAGAAGUUUCGCGUUGCGGAUCAAAGACGCGCGAUGCCGAAUUCAAAAGAUAUUUGGUGGUAAACCCAAACAUAAUAAGUCAUUCAUUCAAUCCAAUUUCUUAGCACACCGACGCCUAAACGGGUUUGGUUUGCCUAGAUAGGAAGUGCGCUUGCAGUGCUUCUAGUAACGAUUUUGAAGUGCAAUAUCUUUCUGUUUCAGGGGUAUGAUUGCUUCUUUCUUCGGCUUAAAAGCUAGAGCUUGUGGUUCGUUAUCAGUACCAGUUUUAGAGCGAUAUAACCUCGUUGUCCGCCUCUCAAUGUCCAGGUCUUUCCCCUGCCCUCUCUCUCGAUGUGGUGCCUUUCACUCUGCUUUGUCAACACUUUAUCGCAAUGCCGGAAGGUAGGAUUUCAGGUCUUUUCCCAAGCUAUGAAUCUUCAUCAAUGCUUUAUACUAUGCCAUUGAUGAAGAUAAAGUUAAGAGAUAAAGAAAUUUUUUCUUUGAUGAAAGAAAAACCGCAAACACGACGAAAAAGGUAGCCGAACCACCUCCCUCAAGUGCUAGCGUACAAGAAGUAGCUUUCGGCAGUGAAUCACAUGUCGAAAUACCGAAAUGUUUAAUCAUCUAUAUUAGUGCUUGGUCUUUCGCCUACCGUGUAUGGUGUAACGGCAUCUCGUGCCAAGAAAAAAGAAGGGUUGAACCUGGCUCACAAACCAGGAGAUCUGGGGGCUUUUGCCCGCUCAUCAUCAAUCCCAUUCUACUACCCUAAGAAAAUAGUCUAAAUUCUGACUCUUGUCAGUCUCCUCGCAAGGAACUAGAACAUUUCUUUGAUAGGGCAGAGAAUAAGCAGGCACACCAACCAAGUUUAAGGAGUCGGAAGUUGUAGACUUAAGGAGGUUAGCCCGUGACUGGCUUCUUGCUCUUUUUUUGUAGAGCAUAGCAACAAGCUGCCAUAGAAGCGGCAAUUUUGUGUUUGCGACUCCUCAUGACUACCCAAUCGAUUAGCAUAAACUUCAGGAACAAUCUUUCUCCCCACCUGGCCUCUUUGAGGCCCGGGCAUAAGCACUCUACCUGGCAUCCUUCCCCUUCUUUGCCAAGAGUGACGAAUUCAGUCUAGGCUGAGCUCAGUCUUCCCUGCCUGCAAGAAAAGUAGUGGUUGUGCAAGAGAGUGCCUCGAUGCGCCGCCAGCUGAUCGUAGACCUCCAUAGAACUGAUCCGAAGUCAACCCCGCAAAACAAGAGUUUUAGGCUUGGUUAUCUCAAUCAGAUGGGAAUCCUUGAGUUAAGAGCUCCUUUUAAACGGUUGAAGAAGAAAUUCACUGUAGAACACAUAAUCUCGAAAAUGAAUACGAAAAAGAGGAAGAACCUAUCCUCCUUCGUACUUACACUAAUUGUAUUUAUCCAAAUUCGGAUAGCCUUUGCGUUCUGCUGUUCUCAUCUGUACAGAGAGCAAGAUCUUAUUAGCUAUUUUACAAACCUUAUACGAAUUCGAGUCAAAGAAUUUAUCCGAGCUCGUGGGCAAAUUUUUAUCCGGAAAGGUUAAUUACUUUAUAUAUAAAGCGACUUCCUCAUUUAGUGAGUAAAUACAAAAAUGGAAUUCAACAAAAGGGACUCUUAUUUAUGGAAGAAGAGGAAAGAAAAGCUAAACGAGUAUGUAACCACCCUAAACCCUAAAUUUGAAUAGCCUGAGAGACUCAUAUUAUAUAGGCUAUUAAAGAUUUAGUUGGAUUGAGUUUUUGCCUACACAGGCAGUCCUGCCCUCAGAUAGAUACGAAGUUCUCGGUAACUAAAAGGGUUGGAUCAUCGCCUCUGGUGGAGUCAUUUCCGUCAUCAGGAAAAGAGGGAUCGGGAGACAAAGAUGAUGGUUAGCUGGCUGACUUGAACAAAACUCAUUCUACGGGCAUUCUCCUUACGGAUAAGCCCACGUAUCGAAUCUCCUUCGGACCCUUCAUUUCUAUUGAUUGUGGGACGGGAGAUACACUAUUGAAAGUGAAAUAGUUAUUUCCCCUGAAGGUAAGCUUGUCUUUCUUCUAAUAGAUAGUAGUAGUUAGUUUAAAUAGAUAGGAAAGCAAAGCUAACCACGAAAGUGAUAAUAUCAGUCUAAGUUGUGAGCCAGGGUAAGUUUAGAGGAAGCGAAGUAGGGCAAGUAAAGAGCAAGGAAAGUAGAUUAAUCAAGAUCAGAAGGCUUGAUAGGAAGACUUUUAGGAGUCUGUGCUCAAGUAGGGAAUUCCGGAAUGAGAGAUUUUGGGCUCGACUAGAAAGGAGCAGGGUUGAGCAAGCGGGGCUAGUUAACUAUUUAAGAAAGGAAUAGGCGCUUUCUAGUAGAUGGGAUCAUUAUAUAUGAAUGGGCUAGGAAUUCUUAUCUUUGCUUGCCCUGGAUUCGUUUCCGUUUAGUGGGCAGAAGAAGAAUCUUAUAAGUCAAGGCUGGGCUAGUGAGCCAGUUUAGUCAAGCUCAAUCGUGAAGAUCAUACGAAAGGGAAGUACGAACCACGAAACUUAUUUUAGAACUCUUCGUUGUAAGCAACAAAACAUCUUUGAUACCUUGUUAUAGGUAGAGAUACUAGAGCAGAGCUUCCUGAUUUCCCGCUUGGGAUAAACUUCUUUUCUAACUCUUGAUAGCCAGUCAAGUUCCAAAUCUCAAGUAAAUAGUUCUCUGUUCCCUUAAUACCCCCUAAAGCAAAUCUUUAGUUCGAAGUUCCCGGCUGAAAGACCUCACUCUUAUCUUUGCUGGGUGGGUGGUCCUUUUCUUUGACAUCAAUCGUUUGGCUUACUUUAGAGAAGAAUGCGAAGGGGCGGAGCGUAGAUAUAGUAGGAAGUGUGAAAGUGCCUUCGGUAAGACCUCUGUGCUGUCCUCCCCUCUGAGUCAAGGAAUAGGCUUGCUAGUUGUUUCAUCCUCCCAGUCGUGAGCUGAAUCUAAGACUUCUUCUUAGCCUCCACCGAAUCAGAAGAAAGGCAGGGCGCAGUGAAGAGAAAUUCCUAUCAACGAGCAAGGAAGAGAGUUCGGGCUAGAUUCAAGCUAGAACUCUUUAUAGGCUCAGCUAGUAUAUCAUAAUCUUAAAAAAGGCCGGUCUUCUUAUCUUAAGGCUCUCGCGAGGUAGAAAUCAGAAAUGGAAGUGGUACAAAUACAAAGACUUCUAUUUAUAAGCAAUCGGGCUUUUCUCACUCAAGCAAGUCGAGCUACUCAAUCUAGGAUGACCUAACGUCACAACCUUAGAAAAAAAAAGUCCUCUCCAGGAAGAAAGAGAGAUGGCAUUGAUGGCAAGGAUGCAAUGGAUACGGGAGGAGAUGGAUUCGUUUGCGCAGUGGAGUGUUUCCGCUCUCUGUCCAUUGAGAAAGAUAGUUUUAGUCAAGCGAGAUAGAUCAAGUCGAAAGAAUAGAAAGUACGCUUUAGGAAAGUGAAAUAUAGGAGGCUAGAAAGAGUAAAGCGAGGUAGCUCGAGUAUCAAGAUAGGUUUAGGAAAGCGAAAUCUCGAACUUUUUAAGAGGAAACGUCCUCUUCGAAAAGGUUGCCCGAGUCUAGAUUCUAUUUUUUCAAAGCGAGCACAGAUUAGUUCUUCCGCUGAAGGAACUGUUCUAGUGUUUCAAGCUGAAGUGCAGUGGGAAAUGAAAUGCGAUGUAAAGGAGCGAAGGAGAAGUGCAAAUAGAACCAUAAGCCGUUUGUUAGCAACUUCAGUCUCAGGGGAAUGAAAUGGAUAAUCAAACUGCUAAGGGAAGCUGACGCUUUCAAAGGAAGAGGAAUUCGAAGUUCAAAUAGCAACGGUCCUCAACAGGAAAUAUUGACUAUAAGUCCACGUUGUGAGCUUAAGGUUCAAUGAAAUUGACUCUUUCUAGUCGUAGUUGAAUAGAAGGUAGUGAAACUAUUUCAAACAGGCUCAGUCUCAGGCUCAGGUAAGUGGACUUCUCGACCUUUAGAAGAGGAAUCGAAACGAAAGCUGACUCGACCAAAGUAAGAAGAAGCGAAAGCGAAGUAGGCUAGAAGAACAAGCAAGGAAGCUCAGUAGGGUUAAGAAAUAGAGUGGGGAAGACGAAGUAGGGUUGAGUCUCAGGAAGUGAAGUAGGUACAAUAGCCGGUGAAGUAGGCAUAUUUCAAUAUGUAGGAGGUAGUGUGAUAGUGGUGAAAGCUGAGAAGGAUAAACUCCAUUUCGAAUAUCUAGGCAGUUUACUUACUUAAACUGUCCUGUUGUCUUCUGAAGAAAGGUUCUAUGUAAUAAGAAUCUCUUGUAGUAUGUGGCUUAAUGAACUGGUAUUAGAGGGAAAUUCCAUGUGAACAAGCGGGAAAUGAAAAUCAAUGUGAAUACGGAAUGAGAUCAGAAGGGAAGUCCGGAGUGAAAGUAAUUCAAUAACAGACACGGUCCUCACUUCAAGUAGAAGAAGAGAAAACAUGAAUUAGGCUUCAGCUGGGCAAAGAGCAAGAUAGGUUUGAAAGAGAUUAGGAAAGCGAAAUAGUGAGAUAGAUCAGGCAGGGAUGCUUCUGAGAAAUUCCUUUGUAAAGGAGCUCGAGUCAAGGAAUAGGCUCAAUAGUUGAGGUUAACUAUUUAGGAAAGAAAGCUCUGAGACUCUCAACUCAUACUUAGGGGAAGGGCUUUAGCCUAGGACAUUAACCGAGGUUGAAAGAGCACAGGUUUUUUCUCCGCCAGUUGGUGUAGAGAGAUGGGUCACUCUUUCGCAUCUCGCGCUGUGGUGAUUGGUAGAGGAGCCGAGCGUACGCUAGAAUCAAGUGCCUAAGGGCUUCCACUAGGCAAUCGGACCACUACAUCGAAUGAAAUCAACUGGUUUCACGCUGCGCUUUGCUAGUUAGAGUUCGGAAAGCAAACUGAGCUGCUUGAGUUGAGUGCACUAGGGACCGCAAGCCAAUGCUUUCUGCGGCUUUCUAUAUUAUCCAAUCCAACGAAAUCAACAAAGACGCUGUGUGCGCUUAGCGCCCCUUUGGUUGGAGCGCUUUAGUUACGUGUUCUUCCUUCGCUGAUUGAGUGCGCCGCCUAGAGCUGUUCUGGUUGAACUGCUUUCGCCGCUAGGGCUAGUCCACUACUGAAUGAUUAUGAGACGCCAUCUCGAUAGAUUGUUCUAUACCUUGACUGGCAUUACACACCAGCAGAGAUCAGGGAAGACGUUCCACAGCUGCUUGUGAGCUAGACUUGCCUGUCUGAUCAUCUUAUGAGAGAAUCAAUGAGAGUAGCGGAUAGGUAGGCGGCUCAGAAAAGGCAUUUCCCAAGCUUUAUGGGUGCUCCAACUGAUGGUUCUCCCCACCUCUUUCUUUGAAGCAGAAAGGCAAAGAGCUGUUCGCGGUUCCUUUUGUUAAAAAAAAAAGGGAAAUAUAUUCGCAGAAGCUUCAGAGGCCAUACAGCGAAAGAUUCCUUCAAAUAGCUCUUCACGAGAAGUAGUCCUUUGGUUCUAGAUUAGAAGGUCUUCCUUCCCAGAUUCCCUUUCCCGGGCCAGCUCAACUUAGAAGAGCAGUACCCGUGUACUCAACCAGAAAGAUUAGUGCAUUUAGCAUAUCAUUUUUCUGUCUAAUGUCGAGGAGGCCCUCGAGUCCAGUAGUCAUUGAUCCGCCCACACUAGUGUAGUAUUUACAAUUCGCUUGGGAUAACCGCUAGUUACUAUAAGAGAGUAGCAAGGGCAGAGCUGCUCCACCCGAAGCAGGGGCAAGGGGCAAACCAACAGCAUAUCUUCCAUUUCGAGAUGGUGAUUUAGAUCCACGAAGCUAUAAGCACCGGAGCGAGCACCAAUAUCACUUGAAUUUUUUGGAGCAGAAAGACCUGGAAAUGUUACAAGUUGAUCUUUUUGCGAAAUGCAUUUGAAGGUGGGUCGAUGCCCCUGUGAUUUUGACCAUCGGCAGUCCUGGCCAUGUCAUCAAAGGCAGAAAUGGCUAUACCGGUGAAAUAGAAUAUGUUACCCUAUUUUCUCUUUUGCGUACCUUCUGACCCCACCCUGAACCGCCCAUAAUCGGUAUCAGACUUCAAGGCAUAGGGCUGUAACCAUUUCGCAUAGCCGUUCUGGUGUGCAUGAAGCAGUUUCAACUGGCAAGAUCUUCGUAUGGUAUUCAAGGUAUCCACAAAAAAUAGGAAAAGGAAAAGCAGCGAUAGAGAUUCCUAACAGUUAGAAUCCGAUUUGCGACAUCAAGACGCUUUUGUCCAUUACGUCCAUUACUUUUUAUCUGCUUUCACGAAGCGAGAGGGAUUUCUUGCCCUUACUAUAGAUAGGCUACGCACCUUCUCGAACGCUAGCAACCUUCAGAGCUUGAUAAUCCAUCGAAUCCGAGAUGCAUCGAAUGCCAUGGUUGGCUCUUUGAUAGAAGGAGCUGCUAGCAAUAAGACUUCCCUUGCUAUAGAAUAAGCUGUUUGCACGAAUAGGCUCUUAGGCAGCUAUUUCAUCCUCAUCUUCCACUUGUCCUAUAUGUUAUCGAAUAAGCUCUUUGCGCAAGACAAGAAUGCCUUCUUAAAGUGAAUCAGAUCAAUAGUUCAGAUCCAAUAGUAUAAGGAAUAGGACAAGUAAAUAAAAUUCACUGCACAUUCUCCGACAUUAGCAUCAGCAUAACGGCAUAUACUAAAAACUUAAUGAAGAAGAUUUUUGCAAGAUCGCUUUGAUCUUAUCCGCAUAGGCUGCAGAUGGACCUGCUGUGAGGGAUUAAAAGAAGAAGGCAAUGCUUGUUUAUAAGGGGCACGAAAAGAAUAAGGUAAGGUUAGAACGAAUAAGCUGUUUGCGCUUAAAAAAAAUUGUUAAGGAACUGAUUGCAAUUCACCAUUCUUGACCAUUAAAAAGGCACUUAUUGAACUAAGGCAAGAUUUAGAAUCCAAAUGGGGCAGGCAAGGAGUAGGAGGGAUAACGGCUGGUGCGUUUAGCAUAAUGUCGGAAUAGCAGCUCUUUUCAGGUUUAGAGAAGUUGACAAAUAGGCUACUUGAGAAUGACGCUAUCCGGAAGUGACAUACUUUUGAUAAGACAGGGGACAUGCAAAAUAUGCAGAGAAGAGGAUUUGGCUAGCCUAUAACUAGAUAAGAGAAAAGGGAAAGUGCUUCAUAAGAAGCUGUUAGAGGAAGGAUUGGAGGAAUUAAGCCAUGUCAACAGUAAGAAAAAAAAGGCAAUCGAAAGGGAAAUAAAAAGACGAUUUAGGACAAAUUCCCGGGUUUCCCCAAAAAAAAAGGAAAUGAAUCAAUAGGAGAACCACACCGACGCACAGAGAAUAGGCGAAUAUAAUACAUUCUAAAAGGCAAGGCCAAGGAGAGCAUCGAAUCCAAAAGUGACUGUUCGAGAAUGUCCUCUUGCUGCUCGAGAAUAACCUGUUUUCCUGCCAGGAAUGACAGCAGGAAAGGAAGGAUCAAUAGUCAAGAUAGCCACGGACAGAAUAGGUUUUGCAAUGAAAUCAGAAGUAGCGGCACAUUGAUCUGCUUCUUUAGUGAAAUAGUGAAAACGGAAUCCAAUACCUGUAGCAGGAAAGAGCCAAUUUCAAUUCCUAAUGUUAGCAUGUUUUUUUGUGGGACUUAUUAAGUCUUAAGUCAGAUGAGCGAGGAAGGGAAUUAUCCGAUCUGAUCUAAAGCCAAGCCAGAACUCGCCAUUGGAAUUGAAUGCCCAUAUGAUCUGACAUGAUAAGCUUAUUCGCCGACAUUCCAACUAGAGGACAGCGUUUACGCUAGGAAUUGAUGGCAUUCAUAGGCAGCCUCUUGAAUCCGCAGCAGGAGCAGGAGGAGUAGCACGUUUUCCAUCAGGAACUGCAGAUAAGCUAAUCAAAUCCAGAGUUUUUAACAAAACACGAUUAUAGGCAUCAAGCCUCUAUUAGUAUGCUUUCUUCUUUUUUUUAGUGCCUAAAGACAAGUGAAAGAAGUGGCCCAAGGGACAGGAGUGAACGGGAUGAAAGGAAAGGGAGAGUUUCAAGCACUUACUAGUGAGUGAGUAUUUGACUUGCUCAGCGCGAAAUAGCCUAGAAUUCUAAUCUAAGUUCAACAUUGUUGUGAUUCCUAGACAAGAGUGCUAUGUGAAUCCACUAAUAGAGGUAUGCAUGUCUUUUUGGGUGAGGUAGGAAAGUAGGAUUGUUGAGAAGCGCUUAUUUAUUUAUUUAUUUUGAUAGGGCUACUCAGAAUAUAAGAAGGAAGCUUGCUUGGUUUGCAAAAACAAAGGAAAGGGUAUUCAAACUGAUAGGUCUACUAUGAAUGGUAGCUCUUACAGCGGGGGAUCGCGGAAUCUCUAGCCUUCCGGGGAAUCUUAUCUAAAGCGCUCUCAUGAGAGAGUACUGGCUGAGUUAACGAUAGGAAUGGCUGACAAAAGGCCUUACCCCAGGACUGCAAUUGGCUUAACUGAAACAGGUUUUCUACAGACACUUUAUAAAGUGCUUUCUAACUGCACAACUUGCCCGGGGAGCUCACUUCGCUAGCCUAAGUAGUAAAUAAGAGAAAAAAUAUGAAGAGGAGUCCUCAAAAGUUGAGAAAAAAAUCAAAGUGUCUCCAUCAGCAUCUAUCUUAAAAAAUUGAGACUUGGACUAGUAUUCCAAUUAGGGUGAUGGCACUAUCAACUACUUCAACUGAGAACUCCCGCUCAACCGGCAGGGCAUCGAAAGGAACUGCAACUCAAACUGAUUCAAUUGGUGAAACUAGUAUUCUUUCUCCAGAGGCAGAGGCUCCUCUUUUUCUGAAAUUGUGCUUUCUUACCUAAGAUUGUUUGCUGGAACUGAAUGGCUUAACACUUCCCACUAAACGAUGCUAUCACAUUGGCUUACUCAAAAGCUUAGGACGACAUUCUCUUUCAAAAUUUUCUUUCAAACUAGCUGUAAGCACUUAGCACUUUAGGGCUUAUCCUCGCACUUCAACUAUCAGGUUGGGAGUAUCUUCACUGCAAGCUGGCCACUCUAGAUGGUUGGGAUAUGUGAUAGCUCUUAAAAAGUAUAUAUACAUAAAUGAAAAGUAAAUAAAAUAAUGAACAUUGGAAAGCGAUGCACUCACACAAGCCGGUAUCUUAUAAGGAAAAAGUAAGCAAAAAGGAAAAGCGGAUGGCUCUUCUACAACUUCGAAGAUUUUUAAGCAGUCCCUUUCUUUAUCGUACUCCCUCCCUUACCAGGUAAUAUACUACGGAGGAAAGAAACCCUCUUGAUACUGGGACAACUGCUACGAGGGCUGGCAGGGUAGAUCGAAGGAAUUCGUUUUCAGGGCUUAUGAACGAAAAGGUUUAUCAAUUACAUUAGAUGCGCUUGCUUGCAGAAGGACUCCAAAACCCUUAAGACUGACACUGCCUUCAAGCUCUCUUCCCUAUAGGUCGAGUGAAUAGCUUUACAAAAGUGUUUCUUAUAAACCAAACGAGCAUUAAAGCACUAGCUGAAAGGAAAGAGAAAUCUAAUUACUAAUCUUUAGCUUAUCCACUUAGAGGGACAGGGACUGCCCCACUAACUCUAGACAGUAGAGGCAGGUUGAUAUAUGCUUUUACAGAGAGUAGGAAAGAUUCUAUAAUAGCCGGAAUGGUAGCACGUUAGAGCAGUAGUCAAGGUUAGAAUGAUUGGAAAGGAAACCUAGGACUUUUACAGCUCCUUAUUGUAGCUAGUAAGGAUAGGCCCCAGAGUUUACGCUCCUUCAAAGGCACAGUGGAAAGGUCACGUAUUCCAGCCUCAGGCCAUAUUAUACUACGCUAUAUGCGGCCACCCCCUAUACAUCAUUCCAUAGAAAAGCCCUCCUACUCCAAGGGCAAAAUAGAAUAAUCCAAAGUCAAUCCCGCCAGGGCGGAAAAUAAAAGCAACUAGAAGGACAGCAACUGGCUAAAAAGACUCUGGCUUUCUUCACAGGUAAGCUAAGCUUUUACUCGCUUUCUAAUACGGAUACAGGCUUUCAAAGUCACUUGCUUCACACAUAGUGAAGGCUUUGGUAUACUGAUCUAUAUCUGAUAGGCUAUGAUGUUAUCGCCAGGAAGCAAGAAAAUCAUUCUAUGUGGAAUGGGUGCUGUCGACUGAUUUCACUAACUCAAAUUCAGAUUCCUUUCACUUUCACUCCCGGAAGUCUCACUAAAAUAGACUAUGUCUGCGCUGCAAAGGUAAAGGUUACGGUUAUUCAAUAGUCUCCCCUUCCCCUUACAGUGCUCAAGAAGCAAAACGGACUUCUCGAGCCUCAAAAACAACCCUCUCCCUUCGGUCUCAAUUACAUCGAUCCUCUUAACCUCUCUAGCUCUCUUCUACUCGCUACAAGUACUGAACUCGUACCCUAUCCUCUCUUUCAGAAAAAAAUGGAAUUACGUAAUUUUAACUGAAACUUCUCACUUCUGUCUCAACUUACUGACUCGGGGUGACUCUAGCGGCUUACUACUAAUGAAAUAUAUCCGGGCUGAAAAGAGGGAAUUGGAAUUCCAAUCUAUAGCUACCCUACCUUACUCCGGUGUAAUAGAUUAUUCCGCCUUUUUAAAAAAGGCUUUGAUCACACACAUAUCUAUGAUAGGUUCAUAAACGUGCUAUAUCUAGGGACAAGAAAAGGGUCUUUGCGAAAGAGGUAGGGCGAAAAGCGACCAACCCGAUAGGGGUAUAGCUCUGUGCACUUAACGUGAUCAAUGGAUCUUUCUUAUCGGCGAACUCUACAUUAUAUAUCCUGUGAGUGGGAAGGAAAGCUUUAGGAGGGAAUAAGGCAUAUUAUAUCUAUGGCAUCAGUAGAAGACUAGGUUGCCAAUCAGAUAAAGGAAAAACAAGAUGAUCCGCAAUGGCUUGCUUCGAAAAGUACAUGAUUCCAUUCCUUACUAGAAUCACUUACACUUAGCCUUAAGGGGCCUAGCUUAUCGGGGGGCAAGAAACAAAAGAAGAAUAAGUAAGGCUUGAUUGGCUAAGGAAUGAUUUUUUUCUCUUUCUUGAGGAACUUUCUAAGUCCCAUGAGUUCGGAAUGACUAUCUCUCUCAUCCAGUUGGUAAGUUCUUUCUGUCGAGAAAGGGAAUGCACUUUCAGGUCGAGCACGGUCUAUUGGCAAAGGCCUAUUUCCAUAUCAUCUUUGUAGGGGGCUUCCCUCUUACACAUCAACUGAAGACCAAUCCAAGACUGAAGACAGACUAGAUUGAUAGAGCAGAGGAAAUCAGAAUAUCUGAAGUCCAAGCAAAGCAGAAACGUUAGCUAUAGCUAUAUGCUCAACACAUGGGAUUUGACUUAUUUCCUUGGCUUAGGAGUUAAGACUCUGGGAAGUAAAGGGUGGUCGAAGAUCAGGCGUAGGCCGGGCUAAUCGGUAAGCAACAGCCUAAGACAAUGCCGCAUACCAACCACAACUUAUCAGGCUCGGUCAAGAACCUAGCAGUCUCGUUUAAGUACAUAGUGGCAGUUCCUCUUUUGACCUCUUGAUCUUUGAGCUUGGUGGCCUCAAAAAAGCGCUCUAGCUGCCACAAGCGGUUAUCCAGCUCCCUACCAUCCUUUUUUCCAUUAUAAUUAUAUAGGUCUUGGUUUCAGGUCUCUCUAGCCAAAGGUACCCUUGUCUGACAGCCCAACUAUGAGCUCCAUUGGCCCUAAUCUGCUUCCGCAUAAGGGAGUCCCCGCGCAUUUCCUCUACCUUUUAUUGUAGAGUGGCCACCUUCUUCCUUUGCUUCUUUAGCCAUCCAAGCAUUGACUGAUCCAAGAAUCUCUCCUUUCCGCUCCUCUCCUAAAAGUCAGUAAUUCCAGAAACCCUUGUUCGAUAGGACCCCCGAAACAUUUGGAAGGAAUGAGACAGGACUGACCGACAGGGACCGAUUUGAGUUGGAGCUUAAGCCUAGACUCACAUAAGACCCCCUCCUUAUCCACAGCACAUGUGUGGUCCAGCUGCGCCACUCUUUCGAUUGGCCUUUCACCUUGCUUUCUCUUGUCUCCACUUUGAUAGAUUAUGCUAUCAUAACCCAGGUACUUCAGCCUAUAACCAGGAUUGCUAGUCUAACUAGAGUACAGGGAAGAGACAGGCCCUUACUCGCCUGUCAAAUCUCUAUUUCUCUUAUUUCUCUUACCUAAUAGGCCAAGCAAAUCUGAUCUGAGAAGGAAUUUAGGGAUUUGUUGGCAAGGUCGGGAAGAGGUUGAUUCGUGAAGAAGCCGCUAAUCGGGAACAGGCAGAAGCUAGAGAUCAGCUGAUUUUAAUGACGAAGACGAUUAUCCGCCAAAGAAAAAAGCAAAUAGAAAAGAUCGAUCAUAAACUUCAUGGAAUCCAAGCUCCCUCUGCAGCCAGCUUCUUUACACUAAAAGUCUUUACUUUGUUUGGUCUGGUCUGUCAACCAGUACUCGAGAGUAGUAGCUUCCCUUAAGUCUUCCAAUUCCGAGUUGAGGGAAAGGGAAGAGAGGGAAAGCAUAUAACGUAAGUAAACGAAAGAUGACUCAUUCAGAUAUGAACUUUCAAAUGAAGAGAAAGACUUGUUGAUAGUAUACCAAACUGUCCUUUCCUUGCUUUCUAGGCUGUCUGUGCUUUCCACUCCGUCCAGUACUCCUUUUGCCCUUGUAGCCGCUGGAACUGCCAAAGAAGGCCUAGUCCUACUGCGCCCUUCAUUCAAAAAAUGGAAGCUUUCUCCCCGCUACUAAAGAAAAGAACCCAAAGAAGAGGGCAAAGAUGAUGUGUUCUCUUCCAUCGAUGAUACGACCAAGUGUGAGACUUAAAUUAUAAACAAGGAGUUCUAAUAAAGAGGGAUCAUCCGACCAGGGGUCCAUUCAAUAAAAAAAGAGAAUGACUCUUCCUGCGGAUCAGCUGCAUUUAGGCUCCCCUUUAUAGGAUUCUAGUGGUUAGCUUCUUUGGCAUCUUAACUUUAUAACAUUUAUAGCCUAUUUCUGAAAACAGCGAAGAUUUCCUUAUUGAACCGGCAAAUCGGAUCACUUUUAUCUUCCUCUAUCUCUAAAAGGGCAGGGUCGCUACUUCCUACUAGACACGGAGGAAGAGCAUUGGACACAUGUAAGCUGCGACGGAAGAAGGGGACUACUAAUAUAAAAGACAAUGGGCGCUUAGGUCCCUAUCAUCAGUUGGAUUGCCAAUCAACUGAAAAGCUUCUCCCUCGUCGACUUAGGAAAAGAGGCCAGGUUCGGUACAUGCCAAACUUGUCUAUUCGCUUGAAAGCCAGCCUUAGGAACCUCAACAGCCUUGACGAAAGAAGGCUAGGCUUCUUGAACGAGAGCUAAUCCGAUCUGGGAAGUUGGACUCACUUGGACUCACCGGGCCUAUCAGACUCUAGCUUUUCCUUGCUUGAGAAAGAGAGACUGAUUGGAUUGAUUGUAGAGUAAUCUCUCCCUGUAACUACAACUCGAAAUUCAAUAAAAAAAUCAAAGUAAGGAUUGCUAAGCUAUAUUCAAGGUAUGUCUAUUGGUAUGCUUGUUGAUUUAUUGCUUUUUUGCUAGGAUUUUUUAAUUGAGAUUUUGUUGGUGUUACAUCUACAGCACCUCUUUGAUCGAAAGGAAGAUCUAGUUCUUCCGAUUAGAAAAGCUAGAACCAGAACUUGGAUAGAUAGGCCCCCUAGAACCUAUUUCCCGCCCCUUAGUGGCCGAUGGUGAAGCGCCUUACAGGAAGAGGUAAGGUAGCGCUCAAUAAUUUCAUAAAAAAAAAUCCUUUCAACAUAGUCCAUGCGGUCGGUCAAAUGCAUUUCACCAAGUGGAUAAGUGCCAUCUACUACGGUAUGACCACAUAUAUUUCCUGCCUGCUUGUAGCGCUUACCUGCUUUCACCGAUUGGAUUAAUUGCUUUUACCUGGGACAUGCCCCUGAACUAGUAUCUCUUUUCUUGGUUAUUUAAAUAUGCGAAUCCAAGCCCUUUAUUUGUAUUCAUAGGUUCGGUCAUCUUAAUCGGUUCUCGAUUUAUGGUCUAGUAGCAGGAUUUGACCUUCUUAUCGCUUUUUCUGAUAUUAGUAAGAGAAUCUUUUAUGUCUAAAAAGAAUAGUCCACUUGAUAAAGGGAAUGCAACCUUAACUCCUAAGCUUUGAAACCUGUCCAAUCCCAUGUCUUAAGCUAAGCGAUUAACCUUUAUAAAGUGCUACGAAUCGAUUCACUCGUCUAUUAGUAAUAAAUCCAAUUCGAACAGAAAGACCCCUACCGGACCGGAGGUUGCCCGGGCGGAUGAGAAGAUCUGAUGUCAAAGACGAGUUUGAUUAGAAUUCCAACUCUGAACGAAGGACCAAGUAUGAUUUUGCAUAAGACCAUUGUACUCCUCGGUCAUGGCUUGAGGCCUGUGAGGGGACUUGGCAGCCUCAGUAUAGCUGGUUGGUUCAGAGGGAGAAGCAGAGGUAGGAAGUUAAAUAUAACGCGGUUCAUAGCUUUAGUAGCUGUAGUGAGAGUAGUCGAUCUUGGAGGAGGAGUAGGUCUUGGCCUUGGCAAGCUGCCCUUCCUUCUUGCGGUAAGUCAAGAAUGAAUGCCGUCCCUCUGCUUUCUUAGUAUAUCUGUCGCUCACUGAAGAUCAGAAAAUCUCUCUCGCCCUCUUGUCGCUAUGUCUUUCUCUCGUGCUCUCGUCGCUCUGUUUUCAGUCUUUAUGUCCAUCCUUUUUGCCUGAAAAAUUAAGUAACUCAAACCAUAUAAUAAAGAGAGAGGCUUACCCUACCUGUCGUCUUGGAGAGGGCGGUAGGGAAGUCACUCGAGAGCAGAGGCUUUGUUGAGAGAAUAGGGGCGAUAGCGGUAAGAACUGGUUCAGAAAGUGGGCAGGACUUUUCCCUAUUUUUUUUUUUAAGGGAUGGAUGAAUUUAGAUAGUGAUGAUGGUAGAGUUUGAACUUUUCCCAACUAAUGCGAGGAAAGGAACUGAACUACUAUUCUCUAGGAAGAUCUUGACUAAGAAAAUUCAGAUAGAGAGUCUAGGGUUGGUUGUACAUGCGACUGAUCUAAGGCACUCUCGGAGUUAGAAGUCUUUUAAGAAGCAGUAGACUGAGAGGCUUUGGCAGAAUGGAUCAUACUUUUUGCUCUCAGGGUGCUUUCCUUGAGCUCCACCAUCCGGGAUGCUAGUUUUUUGAGGAUGAUUCUUUCGUGUAAGUCAGGGGAGUGUUGAGCCAGAGUAGAGAUUGUUCAGCAUCGCUGAGAGCAUCCGAGUGAAGAAUUUCUUCAAAUGGCAUGCUGAAAUAGUUUCUGAGUGCUUCCCUUUGUUCUUGCAAGAGAUAAAGACUGGUAGGCAGGCUAAGGCCAGAGAUUCAAUGCCCGAGGGAGGUCCUCGAGACUUAACCCUGUCUGAGAGCUUGGCCAGCAAGCUUUUGGACAUUGAAUGUACACUCGAGGAGGACUGAACAGAUGUAGAGGAUCCUGACAAACUUGAGGAAAGCACACCUUGUUGAAUGGACAUCUGAGAUUGAAGAUGAUGUCAACAGUUAGCCAAGAAGGUUUAUGGCAAACUGGAAGGAGUAAGGAGGGAUAAAUGAUCUACCUCAGGUCCGGGGAACCUAUAUGAAGAGGACGGUUUUCCCAAGUUUGUCGAACACCCUACGCCCCGGCUAUUCAAUAGGGAGGAAGGUUGCCACUCGGUUCUGUAUAACGAGCAGAAGGUGAAGGCAUCAGCCUAUCUAUAGAAGUCGAACACACUUUGGGUGGAAGGCAUGGAGAAAAAGGUGCUUUAGGAGCUAUGAUACGCUCCGGCACCUUAAUCUAAGGAUGCGGUACAAUAUUUCCGGAUGCAGGCUUACGAAUAGAAGCCGAUUGAGAUUAAAUCGAACUCGCCAAUGAACCACCAAAUAUGACCAUCCUGAAAAACUCUUAAACAUGAACUUUUGAAGCCACAGGGAGUGCACUUGCUUGUUCCCUGCACUUAUCUUUCAAAGUUUAAAUAAAAGAGAAAGAGAGUAGGUGGAAUGAGAUCCGACCACCUACCCCAGGAUCUUUGCGGGUUUUUUUACCCGGCGAACGGAGUGGGAGUUUGUUUUGCCUAUUUACUUGAUUGAGAGUGAGUAGUAACUUAAACGGGAUAAAUAUGGAAAGACUCAAUUAAUGAAGAAGAAAUUCCCUCUUAUAUUUUAUAUUUCUUUAAAAAUAUAUAUUUAUUAUUAUAAAAAUAUAUAUUUAUAUAAUUUUCUUUCCCAUCUUUAAGAGAAAGCUCUUACUGUUAUUCUCGAACUCAGAGCCGGGUGAAGACCGCACAAGUAAGACCAGACUUUAAGAGAUUUUGACCGAUAUGAUUAGAAAUUCUUAGGAGCGAAUGGGCAGCGCUCGCUUGGCACACUGAUGAGAUUUCCCCUUGGACAGAUAGCCUUUCUUUAUUUACUACCACCGGCUGGAGACCAUAUUGCUACCAGAGAGAGGAAUGACUAUAGGCACGAAACUGGCUUUUAACCCUUUCUUUGCAAGCGUGUGCUGUGCUACUGGCUCGAUGGACAAAGUCUCGCGAAAAAUCCGUAUAAUGAUUAGCUCCUAGCCCCUGCUUCUAUCAUUGGUGCUAUUAUCGUAUAAUAUAAUGGAUCACUCCUGCAGGACUUCUUUCUAUCAAUUUAAUAAUUGCAGGUAUAAAAGAAAGGGAUGGAUGGCCGGGCCAUGAGAAGGAAGACUUUUCUUUUUAUUUUCACAUGCAAGUCUAACGUUGUUUUCGGGGAGAAUCUACGCUCUGUAAACAAAGGUCGACCUUUCUUAUCUAAUCGAAAGGCUAAUUCACGAUAGACGAGUGGGCGAGACGGAAAUGGGGUAUUGUUCACCUACAUCUAUCCCAAUGAGCCGUCUAUCGAAUCGUUGCAAUUGAUGCUCGAUCCCGAAGAGAAGGAAGAGAUCUUCGGAAAGUGGGUUUUUAUGAUCCGAUAAAGAAUCAAACUUAUUCAAAUGUUCCUGCUAUUCUAUAUUUCCUUGAAAAAGGAGCUCAACCUACAGGAACUGUUCAUGAUAUUUCAAAGAAAGCGGAGGUUUUUACGGAACUUCGUCUUAAUCAAACGAAAUUCAAAUUCAAUCAAUGAAAUACAAAAAACGAGGGGAUGACUCGUAUAUAGCUUUGUAUAACUUUCUCUACUACUGCCCCUUUCUCUUGUUCUAUUCAUACCUAUUUAUUAUUGCUCCUGCAGAAUCCCAUGUUCUAUAACGACAAAAAUCUAUCUUAUUGAUAUAAGAUGGAUAGAAAAAAGAUCAAGUGAAUAGAUGAAGGAAUUAUAUCUAUAAAUAGAAAAUUCUGACUUCAAUCAGGCGGUUUUUCUUAGAACUCUACUAACAAACACGGGAUCAAGUUUGCUUAUUAUACAUUCUCUUUAUAUUGAUUGAAUAGAUGAUUGAAUAGACCCGAGAUUUUUUCCUACUUUUUCCUUAUUUAUUUCGCCAUCUACACCUUUUUUGUAUCUAUGUAGAUUAUCUAUAUAGUGCCAAUCCAACACAAGUCCUUAUUUUUUUUUAUUUGAAUUUAAAUUCUGAUUUAUUCAAUUUGAAUUUUUUUUUGUUUUGAUUCCGGUUGUAUUCUUUUCUCAACAUUCAUUCAUAUUGACAACUGUGUAGAAAACAAAUAUAAUUUGAUCGUAGAUAAAUGAAUCUUUUUUUCUCCGUUCUUUCAAAAUGGGUUUGGUUUUUACUUUACCUCAUUCAAAUGAUGGUUUCGUUGUAUUCGCUGUGCCAUAAGCAGUUUUUUCAAUCAAAAAAAUGGAUAAGAUAAGAGUUGGUCUAUAAAUUUUGACAUUUAUCUAUCUAAUAACUAAGAAUUUCUUGUAUUUUCACCUGAGCUGUUCAUUUUUAUCUUCAAAAUCGAUUAUAAAAUGUGUGUUUUUUUUUUAUUUUAUUUAUUUUAUUGCUAGUUCAAUGUUUUGAUUGUGUCGUGUAACCCAAUCUCUUUACUUUAUUUGUUUUGAUUCCGGUUGUAUCUACAUACCCUAAUUAUUUUAAUUGAAUUUGAUCUUAUUCGGGUUGCUAACUCAAUGGUAGAGUACUCGGCUUUUAAGUGCGGCUAGAAUCUUUUACACAUUUGGAUGAAGGAACGGAUUCGUCCAUACCAUUGGUAUAGUUUGUAAGACCGCGACUGAUCCCUGAAAGGGAAUGAAUGGAAAAAACAGCAUGUCGUAUCAAUUAUCAAUGGAGAAUUCUGAGAAUAUAUCAUUGUUACCAGAUCGGCACAAAACCUUGUUUGAAUUGUUAGAGCAGAACAAAAUGAAUUCAAAGUUGGGUUGAGUGAAUAAAUGGAUAGAGCCUUAAUUUAAUGGCUCCAAUUAAAUUAUAGGGAAACAAAAAAAGCAACGAGCUUCUGUUCUUAAUGUGAAUGAUUACCCGAUCUAAUUAGACGUUAAAAAAAUAUUAGUGCCUGAUGCGGGAAAGGCUUCUCCCAUGAGUCAUUAUAGAUUUUUUUAUGAAUCCUAACUAUUAGCUAUAGCUAUUCUCCAUUAUGGAGUGGAGAUGAAUGUGUAGAAGAAGCAGUAUAUUGAUAAAGAUAAUUUUUUCCAAAAUCAAAAGAGCGAUUGGAUUGAAAAAAUAAAGGAUUUCUAACCAUCUUGUUAUCCUAUAACGAACAUAAAUAAAUUAGAUGGAAAAAGAGAGGAUAGAGGGUCCGUUGAUGAGUCUACCUGUCUCCGAGGUAUCUAUUCUUUUUUUAUUAUAAUUAGAAUACCUUGUUUUGACUGUAUCGCACUAUGUAUCAUUUGAUAACCCAAGAAAUACCCUCGAUUUAUUCAAAUCGAAUCUCAAAUGGAAGGAGUUCAAAGAUAUUUAAAACUAGAUAGAUCUCGUCAAGAUGACUUCCUAUAUCCACUUAUCUUUCAGGAGUAUAUUUAUGCACUUUCUUAUGAUCAUGGUUUAAACAGAUCGAUUUUGUUGGAAAAUGUGGGUUAUGACAAUAAAUCCAGUUUACUAAUUGUGAAACGUUUAAUUACGCGAAUGUAUCAACAGAAUCAUUUGAUUUUUUCUGAUUCUAAUCAAAAUCCAUUUUUUGGACAUUUAAAAAAAAGAAUUUUGAUUCUCAAAUGAUAUCAGAGGGAUUUGGAGUCAUAGUGGAAAUUCCAUUUUCCCUACGAUUAGUCUCUUCUCUAGAAGGUAAAGAAAUAGCAAAAUCUCAUAAUUUACGAUCAAUUCAUUCAAUAUUUCCUUUUUUAGAGGACAAAUUCCCACAUUUUAAGUAUGUGUCAGAUAUACUAAUACCCCACCCCAUCCAUCUGGAAAUCUUGGUUCAAGCCCUUCGUUACUGGGUGAAAGAUGCCUCUUCUUUGCAUUUAUUACGAUUCUUUCUACACGAGUAUCAUAAUUGGAAUAGUAUGAUUACUCCAAAGAAAUCCAUUUCCAUUUUUUCAAAAAGGAAUCAAAGAUUUUUCUUAUUCCUAUAUAAUUUUCAUGUAUGUGAAUACGACUCUAUCUUCAUUUUUAUCCGCAAUCAAUCUUAUCAUUUACGAUCAACAUCUUAUGGAGCCCUUCUUGGGCGAAUAUUUUUCUAUGGAAAAUAGAGCAUUUGUCGAAGUCUUUGCUAAUGAUUUUCAGACAAUCUUAUGGUUGUUCAAGAAUCCUUUCAUGCAUUAUGUAUCAAGGAAAAUCCAUUCUGGCUUCAAAAGGGGCGCCUCUUCUGAUGAAUAAAUGGAAAUAUUACCUUGUCAAUUUCUGGCAAUGUCAUUUUUACGUGUGGUCUCAACCAGUAAGGAUCCAUAUAAACCAAUUAUCCAAGCAUUCCCUCGACUUUCUGGGCUAUCUUUCAAGUGUGCGACUAAAUCCUUCAGUGGUACGGAGUCAAAUGCUAGAAAAUGCAUUUAUAAUAGAUAAUGCUAUUAAGAAGUUCGAUACUAUAGUUCCAAUUAUUCCUAUGAUUGGAUCGUUGGCUAAAGCGAGAUUUUGUAAUGCCUUAGGGCAUCCCAUUAGUAAGCCGUCCUGGGCCGAUUCAUCAGAUUAUGAUAUUAUCG